rnacentral:rRNA from 1 species
UACGGGGGGGCAAGCGUUGUUCGGAAUCACUGGGCGUAAAGGGUGCGUAGGCGGGUCUUUUAAGUCAGGGGUGAAAUCCUGGAGCUCAACUCCAGAACUGCCUUUGAUACUGGCGACCUUGAGUCCGGGAGAGGUGAGUGGAACUGCGAGUGUAGAGGUGAAAUUCGUAGAUAUUCGCAAGAACACCAGUGGCGAAGGCGGCUCACUGGCCCGGUACUGACGCUGAGGUGCGAAAGCGUGGGGAGCAAACAGGG